rnacentral:rRNA from 1 species
CAAACCCCCGAUUACUGGCUCUUUUGGGUCGAUUGUAAUUUGUAGAAGGUGCUUCGGAUUUGAUAAUGGUUCAAGUUCCUUGGAAAUGGACAUCAGAGAGGGUGAUAAUCCCGUUUCGACCAAUUAUCUGUCCAUGUGAAGCCCUUUCGACGAGUCGAGUUGUUUGGGAAUGCAGCUCAAAAUGGGUGGUAAAUUUCAUGUAAAGCUAAAUAUCAGCCAGAGACCGAUAGCGCACAAGUAGAGUGAUCGAAAGAUGAAAAGCACUUUGAAAAGAGAGUCAAAAAGCACGUGAAAUUGUUGAAAGGGAAGCGCUUGCAACCAGACUUGCUCGUGGUGUUCAGCCUCCUGAAAAGGUGGUGCACUCUCUGCGGGCGGGCCAACAUCGGUUUUAGCGGUCGGACAAAAGCUCGAGGAAAGUAGCUCUCUUCGGAGAGUGUUAUAGCCUCUUGCAUAAUGCGGCCAGUUGAGACCGAGGAUAUAUGCGCUUAUGCUAGGAUGUUGGCGUAAUGGUUGUUAGCGACCCGUCUUGAAACACGGACCAAGGAGUCGAGAAAUCAUGCGAGCGUUAGGGUGUUAAACCCUUCCGCGUAAUGAGAGUGAACGUAGGUGGGAGCCUUUUUGGCGCACCAUCGACCGAUC